CCCGCUGAACUUAAGCAUAUCAAUAAGCGGAGGAAAAGAAACUAACAAGGAUUCCCCUAGUAACUGCGAGUGAAGAGGGAAGAGCUCAAAUUUGUAAUCUGGCAGUCAUAUGGCUGUCCGAGUUGUAAGUUAGAGAAGUGUCAUCCGUGCUGGCCUGCACAAAAGUCCCUUGGAAAAGGGCAUCAUAGAGGGUGACAAUCCCGUCUUUGGUGCAGACCACCAGUGCAUUUGUGAUGCGCUCUCAAUGAGUCGAGUUGUUUGGGAAUGCAGCUCCAAAUGGGUGGUAAAUUCCAUCUAAAGCUAAAUAUGGGCGAGAAACCGAUAGCGCACAAGUACCGUGAGGGAAAGAUGAAAAGGACUUUGAAAAGAGAGUUAAACAGUACGUGAAAUUGUUGAAAGGGAAACGCUUGAAGUCAGUCAUAUCCCUCAGAAAUCAACCCACCCAUUGGGUCAGGUGCAUUUUCUGUUGGAUGGGUCAGCAUCAAUUUUGAUCAUUGGAUAAAGGGCUUGGGAAUGUGGCAUCUCCGGAUGUGUUAUAGACCAUGUCUGCAUACAAUGGUUGGGAUUGAGGAACUCAGUGUGACCUUCAGGUUUGGGGGUUUUUAACCUCACACUACACACUUAGGAUGCUGGCAUAAUGGCUUUAAUCGACCCGUCUUGAAACACGG
rnacentral:rRNA from 1 species